UACGUAGGGACCGAGCGUUGUCCGGAAUCAUUGGGCGUAAAGGGCGCGUAGGCGGCCACCGCAAGUCGACUGUGAAAUCUCCGGGCUUAACCCGGAAAGGUCAGCCGAUACUGCGGGGCUAGAGUGCAGAAGGGGCAACUGGAAUUCUCGGUGUAGCGGUGAAAUGCGUAGAUAUCGAGAGGAACACCUGCGGCGAAGGCGGGUUGCUGGGCUGACACUGACGCUGAUGUGCGAAAGCUAGGGGAGCGAACGGG
rnacentral:rRNA from 1 species